GUGAUUACUUAUCGGGAGCGCACAGGGCGUGUGCCCCCUCUUGCAGGGACGCCCGCAUUGCCACCCACGCCAUCAGUCAGUCUGCACGCUAUUUGUUCGUUUCUUUCGUCAGUCGACUCGAUUGAAUCGAGUUAUCGAGUAGUUGUACACUCCCAUGUAUCACACACUUAUUGGUUUCCAUUUUCUCGUUUGGAAAUACUGAAAUUAUGGGUGCAAGCAAUUCAUAGAGACAAGUGGUCAUUUACUGCAUACAGUACGACAUGCAGCAGACACUUUACCGAAAACUGCUAUCAAGUGAGGGCAGGAGCAUCAUUAAGACUGUUAAAGAAGAUACCAUUCCAUCUGUCUUUGAUUUUCCUACACAUAUGCAGAAAACGAUAACUGCAACGCGACAGUUGGUUCGUAAAAAACCUGCUAGUACUCAAGAAAUAAAUCAUGCAUGUGUACAACUGGAAAAGAAGAUUGCACAUGGCUGUAGGCAGACGAAACAAAAAGAUUUCGACAAUGGCACAGCUGAUCAAUGAACUUAAAAAAAGGGCACCUGAACAGUGAGAUAAAGGGAACUGUUGUGGUACCGAGUGGUGCAGUCGCUGUAUGUGGCAGUAAAGAAGACGGACAUCCUAAGAACACCAUUGCUUCAAUUAUAAGCGAGGGCUGCUUAUACAUUCCGGCGUGCUGCUCCAUCGAUACGUGAAUAUCUGUUAAAGAGAGAUAGUAUCUGAAACUAACCAAACAAAGCAAGGAGUUACAGAUCAUAGUUGUCGCGAUCGACAGACGCCGACAUGUGUCCAUCAGGCUUGAACCACCAUCUCCAUCGAGCCGACACACACACACACACACACACACACACACACACACACACACACACACACACACACACACACGCCACAGCAGGCAGAUGGACAGAUCAAGGUAAAAGGAAUAGAUCCACGAUCACAGUUUCAGUAUUUAAUGGUGCGGGUGCAUCUAGUAGGGAAGCAGGCACCACAGGUCGGAAAAUACCUGUAAGACUUGUAACUGGGCUACCAACAAUGCAGGAAAGUGGCUGGGGAAGUUUAGUGGCCAGGCAAGUGGCCAGAUACUACAUGGGGCCCUGGAUGGCUGGAGCAACAUGGGUGUCACAAGAAAAGAAAAGCAAAAAUGGGUCUGCUGAGGCCACAGAGACUACAUUGGAUGGGAGGAAUUGGCGGGAAGGACGUCACUGGAUGUAAAGAAAGUGGUGGGAAGGACGUCAGAGGAUGUGCAGAAGUGGCCCGGCUGGAUGUGAGUGGGCUGGUGGUAUUCUGCUGGGUCCCAAAGAGGUUCCGCUGGAGUGAAUGAUUCAGUGGGAUAUCAGUGAUGCUUCGGUGGUCAAUGGAAGGCAAGCUCAACUGACAGUUGCUGUCUGAGAUGCCACACCAACAGGCUCAGCCAGACUAAGAGCUGGCUGGCAUUAUAUUAAUGAGAGGCACUGAUAGCCUUGACUGGAGUACAAGGGAAAUGGCCAGGCAGAACAUGUUGGCAGUGGUGUCCAGACACCAGAUGAAACACUGGGAUGCAAAUGGAAAACUUUGCCACUAACAGUUGCAGUGCAUCACCUGCGCGAUGGAGGCCGGCCAUUGGUGCAAUGAUUCAAGGAAGGCCCAGGGCAAAGGGAGUAGCAUUGAGCUCAUGGCCAUCAGAGGAAGGUAUCAGAGAAGCCCAGGAGGUGGAAAUGGAGCAUCAACAUAAUCACCAAGGUAAGAGGCUAAGGCUGCACCACCCACAAAGUUGGUAUCUGGUGUAGUACUGUGGCAAGGACGGCUGGCACCCAGCACAAUGCUGUGGCAGCAUGGAUAUGGCAGACACCCGACAUCAUGCCGCAGUGGCAAGGGCACAGAGCAGAGGAAUGUUCUGACCACAGGAUUGCAGGUAGUGGCUCAUUCUUGGCCCAGAGCAGGGACCCAUCUGCCUGCUGGUGGAUGUGCUGUGGCAUAUAUAUGCAGAUGAAGUGGACAGAUAUACAUGCAAUAUCACAUGAACACAGAUGAAGGAAUAGAUCUGUGAUUGCACGUCCAUCAUUGCAUGAAGUGCACACAUCUAGCAAGGAUGCAGGCAGCUGUAGUAGGGAAAUGCCUGCAUUUCUUAUAACAAGGCUGCUGGUAAGGCACAUUAGUCUAAACACUUCUCAGUUUGGCUCUUGUAAGGGAUCCUAACAGAGAAAGCCAUACAGGGUGUGUAUAAAUUAGUUAUACAAAAUUAACUUUUAAUUGUGGAACUUACGGGACAAUUUACAGCACUGAAUGCAAUAUAUCUUCAAACUAUAUUCCCACCUAACACUGUUAGUUCUCAAGGCUCCCACUCCACUAGAUGGCAUGCACAAAUGAGCUAUUCCAACAGUCAUCAUGGAGUUGUACAACAGUACAGAACAUGCAUAGUGUCGUUUAUGAUUUCAUGAGUUCAAAUUCGCUACUACAGUCCAGAGAGAAUUCAGACAAACUGUUGAUAACUGGUACAGUCAUUUUACUGAAACUGGCUGUGUGUCACAUAGUACAGCAGGUCAGGGCCAGCCAGCAGUCUCUGACACAGCAAUUGAACAAGUUUGGCAGUCUUACAUUCAUAGUUCAGAUAAAUCACAGAGAUGAGUCACCUUAGAAUUGAAUAUACCUUCUGUUACAGUGUCAAAGGUACUACAGAAAUUCCUGUCAUUCAAACUCCACAAAUUGGAACUGAUUGCAAGCUUUAAAAGAGAGAAACUAAGAAAAAUUAGCUGUGUUCUGAGUAGAAAUAUUUAGCAAAAUGCCGACUGAAGAUGAUUUUCUUACUAAAAUUGUGUUCAGUGAUGAAGCCACCUUCCAUACCUGUGGAGAAGUGAACUUGCAUAAUGUUUGGAUAUGGCAUCAGCAGAAACCACAUCAUGUAAUCAGACAUGCAUGGGACUCACCUGCGGUAAAUAUUUUUUGUACUGCGGGUGUAACAAGAUUUACAGUCUGUUUUUUUAUUUGUCAUGUUACAAAAGGUAGCCACAAUGAACAUUUGUAAAUAAAUCCUGAAGAUGUACUGCAUUCAGUGCUGUAUCAAAUAUUUCUGUAAAUUAUUUACCUUUAUCACACUUAAAGGUUACUUUUGUGUAACUAACUUAUAAACAUCCUGAAUAUAAUGUCACAAAUGAAGACUUUGCAGUACUAAGUAACAGAAGUUAUCCUGUUGGCAUAUUUUCUGACCUUGCCAUAGCCUUUGAUUCUGUGAACAAUUAACAUACUAACUGGGGAAAUGAAACGUUGUAAAGUUAAUGAAAUUCUUUCCAUAGGAGGAUUAUUAUCUUUGCAACAGAAAACAGAAAAUUACAAUGCUACUUACACCACCUGAAUAAAAGAAAACAUGUAAGGGGGGAAUUUAAAAUGCAAGAGUCCCACAGAUUUGUACAGGGUCUCUUCUCGUUAUUGAUCUACAUAAACAUACUUCCUUUGACUUUGAGAGAUUGUUAAAAAAACUAUGAAUUUGUGCCCUCAAUUAAAUUUGAUUAGUGUUCUCGUACCGUCAGCAAAUACUAACUAUACCAGUGAGUGGCCCUUAUCAAUGAAACACAUCACAGAGAAGAUAUACUGUCCUGCCCUGUUCAGUAUCCACAGGAUGAGAUUUCUUGAAAGGCAUGUCCAGAAAGUAAGUACCGUUUCAUUCUACCAUCCCUGCAGCAUUAAUUUCACAGUUCCACGCAUUCACAUUCAUCUCUCUGGUUCACUGUCUUCCCACCGACACCAUUACAGCAGGACUACGUAGUGUUUACAUUUGUUAGUGAUUAUUCAAAAUGCUUAAGAAAAUUUCUGAGCCGACUGACUGUAGUUUGUUCUGUAAUAUGGUUUUUGAGAACAAAGAAUUUUAAGCCAGCUGAAAUUCAGCACCAACUUGUAGAUAUUUAUAGUGCAAAUGUAAUGCUUGAUAGAAUGGCGAGAAAGUAAGCAAGACAAUUCAAUUAUGGAUUAACCAAUGUUAAUAAAGCAGCAUGGAGUGGAUGACCUUCUGUUCUCAGCGAUGGUUUGGUAGAGCGCGUGAAUGAGAAAAUAAGUGAAAACAGACAGUGCACAAUAAGAAGGCUUUAUGGUGAGUUUCACAAUUUUCAAAAACUGUUUUGCAUGAGACAAUCACAAACCACUUAAAUUUUCACAAUUUGUGUUCCUGUUAAGUUCCAAAAAUGCUUAUGGGUAUCCACAAAAUGGAGCGGCUUAGCAGUGCUUUGACAUUUCUAACCCAAUACAGUGGCAAAGCAGAAGUAUUCUUGAACAAAAUUGUGGAAAUUGUGGCUGGUGAUAAAACUUGGAUUUGUAUAUCAUUCCAGAAUCAAAACAAGAAUCAAUGGAGUUGAGGCAUUGAUGAUCCUCUAAAAAAACAAACUCAAAAUAACACCGACAGCACAAAAAUCACAUGCCCUGUGUUCUGGGGCAGACAGGGCAUUCUGCUUUUUUGAGUUCCUUCCCAGAGCUGAAACCACCAAUGCAGUACAAUACUGUGAAACACUGAGAAAACAUCAGCAUGGAAUUCAAAACAAAAAGUUGGAAUGCUGUCAGGAUGUUGUGUUGCUUCAUGACAAUGCAUGUUCCCCAUUCUGUUGGUGUCACUCAAAACCUUAUUCAGCAGUUUGGUUGGGAGCAGUUUGAUCACCCACCAUACAGCCUCAAUCUCGUACCUUCUGACUACCAUUAACUCUUAAACUUUGAGUAUGAUAUUGGAGGAAUGUGCUUUAACAGCAAUGACAACGCAAGAGACAGUGUUCAGCUGUGGCUGUCUUCACUGGCAGAAUCUUUUUAUGGAGGGAGCAACUAUGUAGAAAAACAGUUUAAGAAGUGCUGUUUCAUGUAAAAAUAUA